rnacentral:rRNA from 1 species
CGCCUCCGGGGUUUAUCGGAGGUCGCGCCUGCUCAAUGCCCUACGGGGUGAAUAGCCGCGGUACCCUGACCGUGCUAAGGUAGCGUAAUCAUUAGCCUAUUAAUUGUUGGCCUGUAUGAAUGGCUGGACGCUGGUGGGGCUGUCUCUGUUGUGUUUUAUUGAAAUUAACCUUUUGGUGAAAAGGCCAAGAUUUGUUUGAAAGACGAUUAGACCCUGUCGAACUUUAGGCGGACUCUUUAUAGUUUUAAAUAAAUCAAGAGAAAACCUUUGGUUGGGGAAACCGGGGACCAUAAAAAACGUCCUCCCCAAUGCUGUCUGAGCUUAUGGGAGAGCUUAAAGAUCUGGUUUAAAAAGCCCUACGAGGCAUCUGUAGCUUGUUUGAUCCAGUAGAUAAAUCUCUGAUCGUGGGAAAAGUUACCGCAGGGAUAACAGCGUAAUCCCCCCGGCGAGACCACAUUAAGGGGGGGGCUUGCGACCUCGAUGUUGGCUUAGGGCACCCCGGAAGUGCAGGAGCUUCCUCAGGUUGGUCUGUUCGACCACUAAUGCCUUACGU